rnacentral:rRNA from 1 species
UACGUAGGGUGCGAGCGUUGUCCGGAAUUACUGGGCGUAAAGAGCUCGUAGGUGGUUUGUCGCGUUGUUCGUGAAAACCGGGGGCUUAACCCUCGGCGUGCGGGCGAUACGGGCAGACUUGAGUACUGCAGGGGAGACUGGAAUUCCUGGUGUAGCGGUGGAAUGCGCAGAUAUCUGGAGGAACACCGGUGGCGAAGGCGGCAUCCUGGACCGGUAUUGACGCUGAGGCGCGAAAGCUAGGGGAGCAACGAG